rnacentral:lncRNA from 1 species
UGACGUCGCAGCAAGUCAUGUCACUCGGUUCGUUUAUUGACUGGGGCCGGCCUUGCUUGAGUCGACCAUAAUGAGUCCGCUUCAUUCAUCGAGGACGUCUGUAGAUAAUAUACUGGCGUAGAAACCAAAUUUGUCCAAUACAAAACCAAAGCACAUCUCAGGACUAAAAAAACGUUUAACAUAAUAUAUACGCGUAUAAUAAUCUCUAUAUUAUUAUUCACUGUAUAAUAAUUUUUUGUUAUUAUUUGCAAUAUAAGCAGAUUUUGCGUAGCUAGUUGGAGAACCAAAUAGCCUCUUAGCUCACUUUGAUGUAAAAUCAAUGGGAAAACAUCAAUUAAAAGCAUACAUCAUUUAAUAUUUUUGAAUUAUAUAAGUAGAAAAAGAGAGAGAGAGAGAGAGUUGGCUUUUUAAUAUCGAGUGUCUCAUCAUUCAUCAACCUAUAUGCAUUUCGGCUAUUUAGAUGAAUACCAGUAAUUUCAUUCGUUAAAACAGAUUUUUGUUGUUACAAUCUCUCCGCACAGCUCGUUUGGACAUAAAUAUUUUUUCCUUUUUUCAAAUUUUUUUUUUCAAAAUGAUGUUUUGAUUAUGAACGUUUUAUAAUUUUUCACCGAAAAUCUAUAACUUGGACCCCAUCUACCCACUACAAUUAAAUACUCCGUCAACUACCAUUUCCCUUUGUUAUUGCCUACCAUUAAGAGAAUGGUUAAGGGUCAAAUAUAUCCUUGUACUAUUAAAAAUAUGUCAUAUUUAUCCUCCGUUUGAAUUUCUUAUCAAAUAUGUCCGCCACCGUUAUACAUUAGUGCCAUAUAUAUCCAUUAGCCGUUAAAACACCCUUCCAUAUUUUCUAGUAGCACGUGACAUCUUAUGAUUGGACCAGACGGCCCGUCCCAUUCCUUUAAUUAAACCUACCCCGACCCAAUAGUUAAGCUUAGACCCAACGUUAUAUUUGUUCCAUCCGUUUGCAUCGAGGUUUUCUUCUCCCUCACAAAGAAAAGAACUAGGGUUUCUUAUCAGUGCAGCUCCAUUGAAAGGCAUUCUCUCCCAGCUUUCUUCUUCGCUUAACAUAAACUGGGUUGUGAAGAUUUUCUACCAUAGCAAGUUUUGUCAUGUCUGAAAGUAGUUAUUCAUCAAAGAGGAGGUGCCAUUGUGGGGAAAUUGCCAAUCACUUCACUUCAACGACUCCAUUUAAUCCCGGAAGGAGAUUCUUUAAGUGUGCUAAACCUGAUGCAUGUAUUAUAGCCAAUCACUUCACUUCAACGACUCCAUUCAAUCCCGGAAGGAGAUUCUUUAUGUGCGCUAAACCUGAUGUAUGUAUUAUUUUGUUUAUUCUAAUUCCAUCUAAUUUUUUCGAUAAUUUAAAUUUCUCCCUUGUAUUAUUGGUUCAUAAUUAGAAGUCGUAUGCUUUUUGUUUGGUAGAUAAGCUCGUGCGAUUAUUGGAAAUGGCAAGAUGAUGUGUUACC